UACGUAGGGGGCAAGCGUUGUCCGGAAUCAUUGGGCGUAAAGAGCGUGUAGGCGGCCCGAUAAGUCCGCUGUGAAAGUCCAGGGCUCAACCCUGGAAUGCCGGUGGAUACUGUCGGGCUCGAAUCCGGAAGAGGUGAGUGGAAUUCCUGGUGUAGCGGUGAAAUGCGCAGAUAUCAGGAGGAACACCAGUGGCGAAGGCGACUACCUGGCCUGUUCUUGACGCUGAGGCGCGAAAGCUAGGGGAGCAAACGGG
rnacentral:rRNA from 1 species